GAUGAACGCUAGCGGCAGGCCUAAUACAUGCAAGUCGGACGGGAUCCAUUGAUAGCUUGCUAUCAAUGGUGAGAGUGGCGCACGGGUGCGUAACGCGUGAGCAACCUGCCUCCAUCAGGGGGAUAGCCUCUCGAAAGAGAGAUUAACACCGCAUAAUAUCAACAGUUCGCAUGUUCAGUUGAUUAAAUAUUUAUAGGAUGGAGAUGGGCUCGCGUGACAUUAGCUGGUUGGUAGGGUAACGGCUUACCAAGGCGACGAUGUCUAGGGGCUCUGAGAGGAGAGUCCCUGACACGGGUACUGAGACACGGACCAGGCUCCUACGGGAGGCAGCAGUAAGGAAUAUUGGUCAGUGGGCGGAAGCCUGAAGCAGCCAUGCCGCGUGCAGGAUGACUGCCCUAUGGGUUGUAAACUGCUGUUGGCCAGGAAUAAACCUAAAUACGAGUAUUUAGCUGAAUGUACUGGAAGAAUAAGGAUCGGCUAACUCCGUG
rnacentral:rRNA from 1 species